UACGUAGGGUGCAAGCGUUAAUCGGAAUUACUGGGCGUAAAGCGUGCGCAGGCGGUUUUGUAAGUCUGUCGUGAAAUCCCCGGGCUCAACCUGGGAAUUGCGAUGGAGACUGCAAGGCUGGAGUCUGGCAGAGGGGGGUAGAAUUCCACGUGUAGCAGUGAAAUGCGUAGAGAUGUGGAGGAACACCGAUGGCGAAGGCAGCCCCCUGGGUCAAGACUGACGCUCAUGCACGAA
rnacentral:rRNA from 1 species